rnacentral:snRNA from 1 species
GGAUGUGAGGGCGAUAUAUCUGGCUGCAGUGUCUGUCACCCCAUUGAUCACCAGGGCUGAUUUGGCUGUUCUGGCUGGCUAGGCAGGUCCCCCUUCCUCCCUCACCAUUCCAAGUGCAUCCCUCCCUAAGCUGUGUGCUCUAAAUAGAGAACAACCUUCCCCUAAUAGAGAGGGACAGGUCUUUGGUCAAGUGUAUACAAGUAGCUGUGCUCCCCUGCUAGGACCUCCAAACAAGCUCUCAAGAUACAUUUCUAUACGGGUGCACAAAAUGUGUAUUCCUAGUUAAAGAGUGUAGAAUGCAUAUGAAAAUAUAAAUGUUCCACAGAUAUAAUAUUGCUUUUAU